CUCCCCCUCCCUCUCCCCCCCCUGCCUGGCGGGCGGCGGGGGCGGGGAGAAGGCGAAGGGCAGGCCGCGCCGGGCCUGGCUCCGCCGCGCAGCGGCUUCGCUCCAGCACUCAGCUAUCCCAGUCUGGACUAGGAGCUCAUUGUGGUAACGUGGUAAGAUGCAGACCUUCUCCCAGAAUCAGGAGUCCUAAGGGAUUAAAGAAAAUAACAGACAAGGGAUAGUGUUACGAGAUGCAACAUACAAACCAAAUGGUUAUGGUUUAACAAGACAGUGCUGCAGCAAGAUUGCAUGUUAUGAGG
rnacentral:lncRNA from 1 species